rnacentral:piRNA from 1 species
UGUGGCCAAGCAAGGUACCUGAUGAGC